UAACCUCAAUUCAACAGCUUUGCGGCUGCUUGAGUUGGAUUUGGGAGUCUGCUGGCCCUCUUGGGGGUUGGCUCUCCUUGAAUGCAUGAGUGAGCAUCUGGCUCGCGUUGCUGGUGUGAUAGUCUUUCAUCAUUGGCUGCGCUUGCCUAACGGGCUUGCUUUCGAAUCGUCUUCUCAACGGAGACAACUUUUGACAC
rnacentral:misc_RNA from 1 species